UACGUAGGGUGCGAGCGUUAAUCGGAAUGACUGGGCGUAAAGGGUGCGCAGGCGGUUGGUCAAGACGGAUGUGGAAGCCCCGGGCUUAACCUGGGAGUGUCAUUCGUGACUGACGAACUAGAAUAUGGCAGAGGGAGGCGGAAUUCCACAUGUAGCAGUGAAAUGCGUAGAGAUGUGGAGGAACACCGAUGGCGAAGGCAGCCUUCUGGGCUAAUAUUGACGCUCAGGCACGAAAGCGUGGGGAGCAAACAGG
rnacentral:rRNA from 1 species